GGCUGACGCUCCGCUCGGCAAGAUGGCGGCCGACAGCGAGCCCGAGUCCGAGGUGUUUGAGAUCACAGACUUCACCACGGCCUCGGAGUGGGAAAGGGAAAAGACAGGAAAUAGCCUUUGUGAGGUGCACUUGCCUAGAAUCGUGGCUACUGGCAAGGCUGA